rnacentral:rRNA from 1 species
GGACUACAAGGGUUUCUAAUCCCGUUCGCUCCCCUGGCUUUCGUGUGUGAGCGUCAGGAACGCGCCAGUGCACUGCCUUCGCCUUUGGUGUUCCCCACGAUAUCAACGGAUUUCACCCCUCCACCGUGAGUUCCAUGCACCUCUCGCGCCCUCGAGCCAUACCGUUUCCCUUGCGGGCCGCAGGUUAAGCCUGCGGAUUUUACAAAAGACUAAUAUGGCCGCCUGGACACCCUUUACGCCCAGUGAUUCCGGGUAACGCUUGGGGCCUCUGUAUUACCGCGGCUGCUGGCAC